rnacentral:misc_RNA from 1 species
UUUCCGUAGGUGAACCUGCGGAAGGAUCAUUCAUAAUAAAGUGUUUUAUGGCACUUUUUAGAAAUCCAUAUCCACCUUGUGUGCAAUGUUAGAUCUCGUCAAUCUUGGCGAGAUUUUUAUACAUCAACUCAUUUUUUAACUAAUUUGUCUGAAAAAUAUUAUGAAUACUUAAUUCAAAAUACAACUUUCAACAACGGAUCUCUUGGCUCUC